UACGGAGGGUGCAAGAGUUGUUCGGAAUUACUGGGCGUAAAGCGCGUGUAGGCGGCCUUCUAAGUCUGGCGUGAAAGCCCGGGGCUCACCCCCGGAAGUGCAUUGGAUACUGGAACGCUGGAGUACCGGAGAGGAGGGUGGAAUUCCUGGUGUAGCGGUGAAAUGCGUAGAUAUCAGGAGGAACACCGGUGGCGAAGGCGGCUCUCUGGACGGAUACUGACGCUGAGACGCGAAAGCGUGGGGAGCAAACAGG
rnacentral:rRNA from 1 species